UCUGAAACGAGGUUGAACCGGUAGUGUAAGGACUACCUGAAAAACCAUAUUGGUUGGGUCCCUCAUAUUUGCUAAUGGUAACAUUUCUGGCGAACCUGAUGCCAUUUAAUUUUGCCACUGCUGCCCAACACUUUGAACGUUAUUAGUAGUAAAUGAUGCGCGUUGUGUGCAAGUCUGAAUUUACAGACUGAAGUAAACUUGCAGCAAAGCUAAUGUUAGAAACGGGAUAUAUGGAAUUGAUAUUAAGCAUCAUGACGAUAUGCUUUGAAGUUCAUGCUAAGGUUACAAUUCGAUGGCGUGAAGAUCGUCUGAUUGCCGUUUUAUGAAUGGCUCGUUUUAAGCAACCACUCAUGCAUGGGAUGCCACGACAGAAGAGACAAAGCAGGUUAAAGUUGCCUCUGGUCUCAUCACUUGAUUUUUCUGGACGCCGCACUUUGACUUCAGGUAGGAGAUGCAGAGCUUGCCUCUGUUACAUGGAUUCAGGUAGGAGACGCGACACACUUACCGCCGUUCCAUCGCGAUCUAAAUAUGUGUGCAUACAAGGGAAAUGAUAUCAAUGCAUUGGUUGAUGAUGAAAUUGUUGGGUCAACUUUUGGUUCGGGUCAUAUUACGUGCCGUAAUGUGUUGACUGUCACUUACAGAAUCUUAAGAUCCAAAAGUUGGGUUCAAUGUGGACUCCUUGUCAAAUGAGUGUUCUGGCUAUUCAACGCUGUGGCCGGUGACUCUGACAUGCAAAUGAGGGGUCAAACGUUCUGUGGGGGUCACUGAUGCACAAAAUGGCAGAAAAGCACAACUAUCGGUUUCGGGGAAACGAUACAAGGUUUCUUGCAAGGUGGUAAUAUUACAGAGAUUUGAAAAAUCUCUCUCUGGGUUCGUUGAAAGGUGUGGUGAAAAAGGUUGCACGCAAUACUUUUCAAGGUCGGAGAAGCGGCGCGCUUACCACCGUUCCAUCGCGAUAUAAAUAUGUGUGCAUACAAGGGAAAUGUUAUCAAUGCAUUGGUUGAUGACGAAAUUGUUGGGCAAACUUUUGGUUCGUGUCGUAUUG